rnacentral:rRNA from 1 species
UACGUAGGGACCAAGCGUUGUUCGGAUUUACUGGGCGUAAAGGGCGCGUAGGCGGCUUAACAAGUCAGUUGUGAAAUCUCCGGGCUUAACUCGGAAAGGUCAACUGAUACUGUGCGACUAGAGUGCAGAAGGGGCAACUGGAAUUCUCGGUGUAGCGGUGAAAUGCGUAGAUAUCGAGAGGAACACCUGCGGCGAAGGCGGGUUGCUGGGCUGACACUGACGCUGAGGCGCGAAAGCCAGGGGAGCGAACGGG